GGCGUAAAGCGUGGUUAGGAGAAUAGAUUAAACUGAGGCUAAAUACUUUUAAAGCUGUUAUACGCAUAUGAAAGAUCGAAGCACUACUACGAAAGUGGCCUUAUACAUCUGAACCCACGAAAGCUAAGACACAAACUGGGAUUAGAUACCCCACUAUGCUUAGCCAUAAACACAGAUAAUGCCUUACAACAUUAUUCGCCAGGGUACUACGAGCAUCAGCUUAAAACCCAAAGGACUUGGCGGUGCUUUAGACCCACCUAGAGGAGCCUGUUCUAGAACCGAUAACCCCCGUUCAACCUCACCCCCCCUUGUUCCUCCCGCCUAUAUACCGCCGUCGUCAGCCUACCUGUGAAGGAUUAAUAGUAGGCAAAAUUGGUAUAACCCAAAACGUCAGGUCGAGGUGUAGCGUACGGAGGGGGAAGAAUGGGCUACAUUUUCUUAAUAAGAAAACACGGAUGGUGAAAUGAAACAAUCACCCGAAGGAGGAUUUAGCAGUAAGUAGAAAGCAGAGUGUUCUACUGAAA
rnacentral:rRNA from 1 species